CAAAAAGGAAAUAUUGCUACAGUGAGGUUUAGUGUCGGGAAUAUUGAUGUCGACAACGGUAUCAAUUGAAUCAAUACCCCACUAUUAUCGGAUUGCGCAAAAACGUCUCCAAAUAUAAACGGUACAAGUAAACAUUCUGAAAGCUCACGCAUUUGGCAAACCUUUCCACGCAGCAAACAUUAAUCAAGGGGAGUUUAAAUAUGUUUUUCAAGUGUUCAAAUGUGGUGCAAGUAUUUAAUUUAACUAUAUAUAAGUAUGUAUUUGUCUAAUAGUAAAUCAACACUCCAUUUGUUUAUUGUUUAAGUGGUUAACUGUACAUUUUCCGUUAACCAUCCCAAUUUGCGUAAAACAUCAGAAAAGUUAAACAUUUUAAUUUCUGCUUGUGCCGUAAGCAUACUUACACAUUAAUAAACACAUGCAAGUUGACUGAAAUCAAACUUGUACGACUUUUUUUUUACAGCGCUUUAAUUUUAAUAUUUCAGUGACUGCUGGGCGAAUCUCACGGUAUAUGAAAUCGAAAUUGUAUAAGUCACUUCUCCCGCGGUCAGUAAUGCUGUGACAACGGAAAAUAUGCUAUUGGAUCCGACGAUGUAAACACCAGGUGCAAGGAAAUCAAGGUUUUACUUUGUUCAGUAUUAGGUAGAUACUUUGUUUCUUAAAACAUCCGUUGCAAUGCAAACAUUUUGCACUCAUUGAAUAGCAAAUGUUCGUCGGACAAAUGUCCCAUCAAUGAUAUAGAAGAAGAUGACCCGUUGUAUAGCAGUGUAAAACACAGAGGUGGAAACUCUUCAGGUAUAUAAGGUUGCGAAACUGAGCACAUAACAAACAUGACUAAACAUGAAGCGCGUACAUUCUAGAAAAACUCACUCACAUAAUGUACUCAUAAAUAUUUGUAUAUGUAGUCAAUAAGGCAUUAUACAUGAUUGUUUUUUUUUGUGUGUUAGCAUAUGUUCUUCUUUUAAAAUAUGUUGUGAAGAUGAACAGUUGUGUCCAAAUAUUGUUAAUUUCUUGUAGUUAUUUUUAUUAUGCAGUUAACGGUGCCUGCGGCUACAACUUCCGGGGGAACAACCAGAGGUCGAAGGGUUUGUUCAGUGAAGAUCCACUGUAUUCAUCCAUGGACAGCCUUUCUUUAAAACAUGCACGGGAUACCAUUGAUGAUUCUAUUGACACAACGAUUAAUUCCAUAACACCAGGCAUAGUACAAAUCAAUAUUGAUUCUGUGUAUACAUACGAGAAGGAAGGUGGUCCACUGUAUUCAACUGUGAAAAAGGACACACUUCAAAGCAAAAAUACUUACUCUGUAGAUUCAUUGUACUCAGUGGUAAAGAAGGACACAUCACGACACAAACAGACAAAAAUGCUGUAUUGCAUACAACUGUUAACAUUCGUAUUCCAAUAUGUUCAUUAGAGAACCAUAAUGAUCAAAAGAGCAAACAACUAUGCACGAGUGUGAUGCAUGAUACAGUAUGUUCUCUACAGUUAAGGAAAUGGAUAAGCAACCAAUACACUGGAGCCAGAACGCAUCCAUGGUCAGUGAUAUUUCACAUAAUGUCAUUGACGCAAAUGACAAUGAUCCGAUUUACCAAACUGUGGAUCUAGAAGAGCGGUUAGAUACAACGUUGGAUAAGGAAGAUCUUGAAACCAAGCCAAAACACGAUUGCCUUGAAGUAAACAAGUCGAGUCAACCCAUCGAUGCCAACGUAUGUGAUGAUGACCCACUUUAUUCAGUCGUUAACAAGAAGAAACCAAAAGCUUUGAAAAAAAAACAGAUUGGAACAUGACAGUUCCUCCCACACCUCUUUGCACCACAUCAAUCGUUCCGCGUUACAGCAAAGUUAAAAAGAAACGUUUUGAUAAAGCCGCGAUUUAAUCUGUGUAAGUAUAAUGUGUGAUAUCAAGUACAGACAUGUGUGGAUUUACGCGUUUUUCAAUGUAAUUGUUUAAUAUAUACACAACCAUGAAUGCAUUUUCGGAAUUCUUACCAACGUACUUAUAGCUGAAAGAAUUUGACCAUACCAAACAGUACAUAAACGGAUACUUUGUAGGCUUCACCUGACGAUUUCACAGCGGUUUAACGAAAUAUGAGAUACAGCAGAGCUUUAAAGAAAUAGUUUCUUAUCAUGUCACACUCCGACGAAUUUAAAGUUUAUGCUUGUAAUGCAUGCAUCUUGAAUGAUCACACAUUUUUUUGUUACACAAAAAAUUAGUUUCUGUGUAAUACAGUCAUAACGAAUGAACUGAUAAAAUGUUCUGAGUUAUAAAUGUUCAUAUACUAUAUGUGUACAAAACUUAUUGACGCACAUAUAUAUUCUUAUUGUAUGCUGCAUGCUGUAUGUAUAUUACAUAAAAUUGUGAAUAUUUUAUUUAUAAAGCGUUUAAAUAUUAUGUAUAAUGUCAAGUCCUGACAUUUCCAAAUGUUAUGAUACAAUUAAGCUGACAAUUACAUAGUUGCUUUACAGGGAUAAGUAUAUAUUUAAUAGUUAAAAUAUUACCGAAACUAUACUAAUUCAAGGGACACUACAAAGUUGCAUUAAAUAUGAGAUAAAUUUCUUUUAAAAUAUAUACAAACACUGUAUUUGUUAUAAGCAUUUAGUAAUCUAAAGCUACUUUAACUCUACGUCAUUUGUUAAAUAAGUCAUGCAAUAUUACUUUGUUUGUUUAUUCAUUUUUAUGUGUCUGUUUAAUUAGUGUUUUGUUUAAACAUAGACGAGGGAAAGGACUUUUUGCAUUAAUUGGUAUACAUCCCUGUUGCUAACAUACUUACACAAUUUGAGUACGUUAUGCAUUCAUGCACACAUUUUACUUAAUCUGAGAUUGUUUGCCUCUGCUGUGUAAAUAAAUACCCCUUGAAAAGUA